rnacentral:rRNA from 1 species
CCCUUAGAUGUUCUGGGCCGCACGCGCGCUACACUGAUGAAUGCAACGAGCUCUACCCUUGACCGAAAGGCCCGGGUAAACUUGUGAAACUUCAUCGUGAUGGGGAUAGAUUAUUGCAAUUAUUAAUCUUCAACGAGGAAUGCCUAGUAGGCGCAAGUCAUCAGCUUGCGUCGAUUACGUCCCUGCCCUUUGUACACACCGCCCGUCGCUCCUACCGAUUGGGUGUGCUGGUGAAAUGUUCGGAUCGGCCGUUUGUCGCGGUUUCCGCGUCAUGUGGCUGAGAAGUUCAUUAAACCCUCCCACCUAGAGGAAGGAGAAGUCGUAACA